rnacentral:rRNA from 1 species
UUGAACGCUGGCGGAAUGCUUUACACAUGCAAGUCGAGCGGCAGCGCGGGGGCAACCCUGGCGGCGAGCGGCGAACGGGUGAGUAACAUAUCGGAACGUACCCUAUCGUGGGGGAUAACACAUCGAAAGAUGUGCUAAUACCGCAUACGACCUGAGGGUGAAAGCAGGGGAUCGCAAGACCUUGCGCGACAGGAGCGGCCGAUAUCGGAUUAGCUAGUUGGUGAGGUAAAGGCUCACCAAGGCGACGAUCCGUAGCUGGUCUGAGAGGACGACCAGCCACUCUGGAACUGAGACACGGUCCAGACUCCUACGGGAGGCAGCGGUGGGGAAUUUUGGACAAUGGGGGCAACCCUGAUCCAGCCAUUCCGCGUGAGUGAAGAAGGCCUUCGGGUUGUAAAACUCUUUCGGCAGGAACGAAACGGUGAGCUCUAACAUAGCUUGCUAAUGACGGUACCUGAAGAAGAAGCACCGGCUAACUACGU